rnacentral:rRNA from 1 species
UGCGUAGGCGGAUUUAUAAGUCAGUGGUGAAAUCCUACAGCUUAACUAUAGAACUGCCAUUGAUACUGUAGAUCUUGAGUACGGUUGAGGUGGGCGGAAUGUGUCAUGUAGCGGUGAAAUGCUUAGAUAUGACACAGAACACCAAUUGCGAAGGCAGCUCGCUAAACCGUAACUGACGCUGAGGCACGAAAGCGUGGGGAGCGAACAGGAUUAGAUACCCUGGUAGUCC